CCCUUAGAUGUUCUGGGCCGCACGCGCGCUACACUGACGAAGUCAGCGAGCAUCUCCUACGCCGAAAGGUGCGGGGAAUCUUGUGAAACUUUGUCGUGCUGGGGAUUGAUUUUUGAAAUUCUUGAUCAUCAACGAGGAAUUCCUAGUAAGCGCAAGUCAGCAGCUUGCGUUGAUUACGUCCCUGCCCUUUGUACACACCGCCUGUCGCUACUACCGAUUGAAUGGUUUAGUGAGAUUUUUGGACUGGAACUCUCUUGUUCAGCAAUGAACGAGAGGGACUCUGGGAAGCUAUUCUAACUGUAUCAUUUAGAGGAAGUAAAAGUCGUAACA
rnacentral:rRNA from 1 species